GUAAAGAAAAAAAAGUAAAUUUAGAAAUGGAUAUACAUCAAGUUGAAAAAAAAAAAUAUCUAAAUGAAUCUGAUUUUACACUCUCUGGUAAAGAAAAGAAAGUUAAUUUGGAAAUGGAUAUGCAUCAAGUUGAAAAAAAAAAAUAUCUAAAUGAAUUUGAUUUUACACUCUCUUGUAAAAGAGUUU